rnacentral:rRNA from 1 species
GGAGUUAGCCGGUGCUUCUUCUGUGAGUGAUGUCCUUCCUGCCGGCUAUUAACCCGCAGGCCUUCUUCCUCACUGAAAGUGCUUUACAACCCGAAGGCCUUCUUCACACACGCGGCAUGGCUGGAUCAGGGUUGCCCCCAUUGUCCAAUAUUCCCCACUGCUGCCUCCCGUAGGAGUCUGGGCCGUGUCUCAGUCCCAGUGUGGCUGAUCAUCCUCUCAGACCAGCUACGGAUCGUCGCCUUGGUGAGCCGUUACCUCACCAACCAGCUAAUCCGACAUAGGCUCAUCCGAUAGCGCGAGGCCCGAAGGUCCCCCGCUUUCCCCCGUAGGGCGUAUGCGGUAUUAGCCUGGGUUUCCCCAGGUUAUCCCCCACUACCGGGCAGAUUCCUAUGCAUUACUCACCCGUCCGCCGCUCGCCACCAGGGAGCAAGCUCCCCGUGCUGCCGCUCGACUUGCAUGUGUUAGGCUCGCCGCCACGCGUUCAUCUGAGCCAUGAUACAACUACUGA